UCUGGUUGAUCCUGCCUGAACUGAUGUGUUUAUUUCAAAGAUUAAGCCAUGCAUGUAUAAGUUUAAUCGUUUAUCGAGAAACCGCGAACGGCUCAUUAGAAUGGCCAUUAUUUACUUGAUCUUGAUUGUCUAAAUGGAUAACUGUGGAAAAGCUAGAGCUAAUACAUGCACUAAAGCUUUGUCCUUACGGAAAAGCGCAUUUAUUAGAACAAAACCACGCGGCUUCGGCUGCUUCUUGUUGACUCAGAAUAACUUAGCUGACCGCAUGGCUUGUGCCGGCGGCGUGUCUUUCAAGCGUCCACUUUAUCAACUUGACGGGAGCAUAAUCGACUCCCGUGGUGGUGACGGAUAACGGAGGAUCAGGGUUCGACUCCGGAGAAGGGCCUGAGAAAUGGCCACUACGUCUAAGGAUGGCAGCAGGCGCGCAAAUUACCCACUCUCGGCUCCAGGAGGUAGUGACGAGAAAUAACGAGACUGUUCUCUUUGAGGCGGUCAUCGGAAUGGGUACAAUUUAAACCCUUUACGAGUAUCAAGCAGAGGGCAAGUCUGGUGCAGCAGCCGCGGUAAUUCCAGCUCUGCAAAUACAUAGAAUUAUUGCUGCGGUUAGAAAGCUCAUAGUUGGAUUCGUAUCGAUACCUUGGAACCCUUCGGGUGUCUCUAGGUGUUAUCGAUUUAUCGUAAUGUUCGGUUUUGAGUCCUUAACAGGAUUCUUAACAGGCAUUGCAAGUUUACUUUGAACAAAUCAGAGUGCUUCAAACAGGCGUUUUCGCUUGAAUGAUCGUGCAUGGAAUAAUAGAAAAUGAUUUCGGUUCAGUUUUAUUGGUUUUACGGACUGAGAUAAUGGUUAACAGAGACAAACGGCAGGCUCCACACCACCAGGAGUGGAGCCUGCGGCUUAAUUUGACUCAACACGGGGAAACUCACCCGGCCCGGACACUGUGAGGAUUGACAGAUUGAUAGCUUUUUCAUGAUUCAGUGGAUGGUGGUGCAUGGCCGUUCUUAGUUCGUGGAGUGAUUUGUCUGGUUUAUUCCGAUAACGAGCGAGACUCUAACCUACUAAAUAGUUGGUACAUACUCUUAGUGUAUACAGCUUCUUAGAGGGAUUUGCGGCGUUCAGCCGAAAGAAAUUGAGCAAUAACAGGUCUGUGAUGCCCUUAGAUGUCCGGGGCUGCACGCGCGCUACACUGGCAAAUCAACGUGCUUGUCCUACCUGAAAGGGGCGGGUAACCAUUGAAAAUUUGCCGUGAUUGGGAUCGGAAAUUCAAUUAUUUUCCGUGAACGAGGAAUUCCAAGUAAGUGCGAGUCAUCAGCUCGCGUUGAUUACGUCCCUGCCCUUUGUACACACCGCCCGUCGCUGCCGGGACUGAGCCAUUUCGAGAAAUUUGGGGACCGUUGAUUUAAUUUUUCUAAAUUACUUUGAUGGAACCAAUUUAAUCGCAGUGGCUUGAACCGGGCAAAAGUCGUAACAAGGUAGCUGUAGGUGAACCUGCUGCUG
rnacentral:rRNA from 1 species